ensembl:misc_RNA Metazoa_SRP Metazoan signal recognition particle RNA
GCCAGGCAUGGUGGCCUACACUUGUAGUGUGAGCUACUUGGGAGGCUGAGGCAAGAGGAUUGCAUGAACUCAAGAAUUUUGAGCUGUAGUGCACUAUGUUGAUUGGCUGUCCACAUUAUGUUUGGCAUCGAUACAGUAGUGAUGUCCCAGGAGUGGGGUGAUGAGGGUGCCUAAGGAGGGGUGAACUGAUCAGGGUCAGAAACAGAGCAGAUCAAAACUCUUGUGCUGAUCAAUAGUCGGAUCAUGCCUAUGCAUAGCCACUGCACUCCAGGCUGGGCAAUGUAGCGAGACCCUAUCUCAU